AUGCACCCGGUCUUCCACGUCUCCCAGCUCAAACCAUUCACGCCGGAUUACACGCUGGUGUACACAGAGCUGCCACACGUGCCGGACCUCUCCGUGUCGUCGGGGGCACCAACUUAGCUGCUGGAACGGCGCAUGAUGAAGCGCGACAAUGCGGCCAUCAUGCAGGUCAAGGUGCAGUGGGGUGACGGCUCGCGGCCCGCCAUCACAUGGGAAGAUUACGAGGUUCUUCGUCAGCGAUUUCCUUCAGCAGCCAUUUGGGACGACGCCGAAGCAAGCACUCAGGACGAGGCUCAGUCUUAA
rnacentral:rRNA from 1 species